AACGAACGCUGGCGGCAUGCCUAACACAUGCAAGUCGAACGAGACCUUCGGGUCUAGUGGCGCACGGGUGCGUAACACGUGGGAAUCUGCCCUUUGCUUCGGAAUAACAGUUAGAAAUGACUGCUAAUACCGGAUGAUGUCGAAAGACCAAAGAUUUAUCGGCAAAGGAUGAGCCCGCGUAGGAUUAGGUAGUUGGUGGGGUAAAGGCCUACCAAGCCGACGAUCCUUAGCUGGUCUGAGAGGAUGAUCAGCCACACUGGGACUGAGACACGGCCCAGACUCCUACGGGAGGCAGCAGUGGGGAAUAUUGGACAAUGGGCGAAAGCCUAAUCCAGCAAUGCCGCGUGAGUGAUGAAGGCCUUAGGGUUGUAAAGCUCUUUUACCAGGGAUGAUAAUGACAGUACCUGGAGAAUAAGCUCCGGCUAACUCCGUG
rnacentral:rRNA from 1 species